GAAACCGCUUAGAGGUAAACGGGUGGACCCGCAAGUCGGCCCGGGGAAUUCAACUUGCCGUUCGGGCGGCGGACGUCGGUGUCAGGGAUCCGUAAAGACCCGCCCGACGUUCUGGCUGUCGUACGGCGAGUGCACUUUCUCCGGGUAGAGCGCCACGACCGGUUUCGGCGGCGGUCACAAGCCGGUCGGGAAGGUGACUUCUUUCUUCGGGAGGAAGUGUUAUAGCCCGGCCAGGUGGACUCGCUCCGAGACCGAGGAUUUGCCGCGUCUCGCCUGCCCUCGGCCCUCCGGGUGCGUACGACUGGGGAAGCACUGCUUGCAGUUCUCUCCGACCGCGUGCCCGCGAUAGGUCGGGAAGCACGAGGCGCUUCGGGUCAGUGGCGAAUCGGUCGGUCCUCCACCCGACCCGUCUUGAAACACGGACCAAGGAGUCUAACAUGUGCGCGAGUCAUGGGGUUACAUACGAAACCUACAGGCGCAAUGAAAGUGGAGGUCCACCUCCGGUGGGCCUAGGUAGGAUCCCCGUCAAAGGGGCGCACUACCGGCCCGUCCCAACCACACCGUUGGUGGGGCGGAGCAAGAGCGUACACGUUGGGACCCGAAAGAUGGUGAACUAUGCCUGAGUAGGACGAAGCCAGAGGAAACUCUGGUGGAGGUCCGUAGCGAUUCUGACGUGCAAAUCGAUCGUCAAACUUGGGUAUAGGGGCGAAAGACUAAUCGAACCAUCUAGUAGCUGGUUCCCUCCGAAGUUUCCC
rnacentral:rRNA from 1 species